rnacentral:tRNA from 1 species
GGGCGUGUAGCUCAGCGGGAGAGCACUACGUUGACAUCGUAGGGGUCACAAGUUCAAUCCUUGUCACGCCCA